rnacentral:rRNA from 1 species
UACAGAGGUCUCAAGCGUUGUUCGGAUUCAUUGGGCGUAAAGGGUGCGUAGGCGGCGCGGUAAGUCGGGUGUGAAAUUUCGGAGCUUAACUCCGAAACUGCAUUCGAUACUGCCGUGCUUGAGGACUGGAGAGGAGACUGGAAUUUACGGUGUAGCGGUGAAAUGCGUAGAUAUCAGGAGGAACACCGGUGGCGAAGGCGGGUCUCUGGGCCGUAACUGACGCUGAGGAGCGAAAGCGUGGGGAGCAAACAGG